UACGUAGGGGGCAAGCGUUGUCCGGAUUCAUUGGGCGUAAAGAGCGUGUAGGCGGCCAGGUAGGUCGGUUGUGAAAACUGGAGGCUCAACCUUCAGACGUCGACCGAAACCAUCUGGCUAGAGUCCGGGAGAGGAGAGUGGAAUUCCUGGUGUAGCGGUGAAAUGCGCAGAUAUCAGGAAGAACACCCGUGGCGAAAGCGGCUCACUGGCCCGAUACUGACGCUGAGGUGCGAAAGCGUGGGGAGCAAACAGG
rnacentral:rRNA from 1 species